rnacentral:lncRNA from 12 species
UGCAGUGUGCUGAGAUCUACUGAUAUUCUCAUUAGUACACUAUGGCUUCAAAGCCAUCUCCAUAACUACUACAGAUGCUGUGAGAAUAAGCUCAAGUCUGGCAGCUUGGAUGUGAUAAUAAUCAUAACACAAGAUUUCAGCAAAGAGCCUACAAACCUUGAAGUCCCCGUUGUAUGUUAUUUGGAGAAGCAGUUUCGAUAUUUGUGUCUCGGCUUGCAUGAGCAAUAUCACAUUACUGGAAAUUGUGUUUUCCUCCAAUGACUCCCACAGAUCCUGAUAUACUGCUUCUGACCUUUUCAGGCUGACACCUGAGCAGAUGGAUCCCCUGUUUGAAUAAAAGUAAGAGAUCUUUGCUAUUUAUGUGACAUGAAAAGAUAUGUAUCUAUUACCAUUUUUACUUAGAAGUG